UGUAGGAAGUGGCGUAUGAAUUUGAGAAUGUAAUUUUGGUGCGUGCAAUUAUAAUUUUCUGUGUUAUUUUCGCAAUAUAGUAAAGUGUGCGUUGCGAAUUGUGUUUUGAUGAUUAGUGCGUGUACAAUUAAAAGUGUUUUCGCGAGUGAAUGUGAAUACCACAAGAAAACAACGAAAAGGAGCAGAAAGCCCGGGAAGGCAUCAGGCAAUGGAGCCUGGAAUCAUAAGAUGCCAACAUAAUUCCGUCACUGCGCAUCAUACUGCGAUUGGCUCAAUGAAUGGCUUUGAUUUCUUCUUUGAAAAUGUGAUUCAUCAAUUG